rnacentral:rRNA from 1 species
AAUAGAUACCCUGGUAGUCCACGCCGUAAACGAUGGAUACUAGAUGCUUGGGGUAUUGACCCCCCUGGGCGUCGUAAGCUAACGCGUUAAGUAUCCCGCCUGGGGAGUACGGUCGCAAGACUAAAACUCAAAGGAAUUGACGGGGGACCGCACAAGCGGUGGAGCGCGUGGUUUAAUUCGAUGAUACGCGAAGAACCUCACCGAGGUUUGACAUGUUACUGCAAAGCCUAUGAAAGUAGGCCUCCUUCGAGGGUGUAACACAGGUGUUGCACGGCUGUCGUCAGCUCGUGUCGUGAGAUGUUGGCUUAAGUGCUAUAACGAGCGCAACCCCUGCGAUAAGUUGUAUCACUCUUAUCGGACUGCCUGUACUUAUGUACAGGAGGAAGGCGGGGAUGAUGUCAAGUCAGCGUGGCCCUUAUACCUCGGGCUACACACGCGCUACAAUGGUAGGUACAACGGGUUGCAAGCCAGCGAUGGUAAGCUAAUCCCUUAAAAACCUAUCUCAGUUCAGAUUGCAGGCUGAAACUCG